AUGGAAUCUGUGAAGGAGUUCGCCCACCGCCGCUUCCAGAAGCUAGGCCGAUGGUUCCGCAGGGAGACCGAGGUCGACGGCCUGCAGGCCUUCGCCCUCGGCCUGAACAAGCGGCUUGCGGACGACGCCGGCAGGAGCGGCAACCUGGUCUUCUCCCCGCUGUCCGUCUACGCGGCGCUCUCCCUGGUGGCCGCUGGUGCCCGCGACCGCACCCUCGACGAGCUGCUCGGUGUCCUCGGUGCGCCGUCGCGGGACUUCCUCGCCGGCCACGUCCGCGCGCUCGCCAAGCAGGUCCUCGCAGACCGGUCCCGGACAGGCGGCCCGCGCGUCAGCUUCGCGAGCGGCGUGUGGCAUGACCGGACCAUGCCCAUCCGCCCCGCCUACCGCGAUGCCGCCGAGUCCUUGAAGGCCGUCGCCCACGCCGUCAACUUCCGCCAAAAGCCGGAGGAGGCGAGGGAGCAGAUCAACGCAUGGGUGUCGUCGUCGACCAACGGCCUCAUCCCCUCCCUCGUCGACCGGGGCGCGCUGUCCAACCUCACCGACCUAGUGCUCGCCAACGCCAUCUACUUUAAGGGCAAGUGGGCGGAGCCAUUCGACAAGUAUCUCACAAAGAAGGACAAGUUCCACCGCCUCGACGGCACCGCCGUCGAUGCUCCAUUCAUGCGCGGUCUCGGCAUGCACAGCAUCGCCUGCCACGAUGGCUUCAAGGUGCUCCAGCUCCGGUACGAGGAAGGGCGCCGCACGUUGCAGCCAUGGAUGCGAGCGCCGGCGCCGAUUUACUCCAUGUGUGUAUUCCUUCCCGAUGCUCGCGACGGGCUGUGGAGACUCAUCGACAAGAUCGCCUGCAACCCCGACUUUCUGCGCAAGCACCUGCCGAGGAGAACCGUGCUGGUCGACGACUUCCGGAUGCCUAAAUUCAAAGUCACAUUCGGCAUGACAAUGAACGGCGUUCUCCGGGAGAUGGGGGUCAAGGAGGUGUUCGAGCUGGGGAAGGCCGACCUGUCCGACAUGAUGGCGGAGGACGGCGCAAGGAGGAAGCUGGCACUAGAGCAGGUGAUCCACAGGGCCGUCAUCGAGGUGAACGAGGAAGGCACUGAGGCUGCGGCGGCCACUUACUCGAUGUUACCCAUGUGCUCAGCGAACCCAGCACCGCCUCCGCCGCGUGUGAACUUUGUUGCUGACCAUCCGUUUGCCUUCUUCGUCAUCGAGGAGGUGUCAGGGGCGAUCCUCUUCGCCGGGCACGUCCUUGACCCCACCAUCAAAUGA
rnacentral:rRNA from 1 species